GACGAACGCUGGCGGCGUGCUUAACACAUGCAAGUCGAACGGAAAGGCCCUGCUUUUGUGGGGUGCUCGAGUGGCGAACGGGCGAGUAACACGUGAGUAACCUGCCCUUGACUUUGGGAUAACUUCAGGAAACUGGGGCUAAUACCGGAUAGGAGCUCCUGCUGCAUGGUGGGGGUUGGAAAGUUUCGGCGGUUGGGGAUGGACUCGCGGCUUAUCAGCUUGUUGGUGGGGUAGUGGCUUACCAAGGCUUUGACGGGUAGCCGGCCUGAGAGGGUGACCGGCCACAUGGGGACUGAGAGACGGCCCAGACUCCAACGGGAGGCAGCAGGGGGGAAUAUUGCACAAUGGGAGGAAGCCUGAGGAAGCAACGCCGCGUGCGGGAAGACGGCCUGCGGGUUGUAAACAGCUUUCGCCUGUGACGAAGCGUGAGUGACGGUAAUGGGUAAAGAAGCACCGGCUAACUACGUG
rnacentral:rRNA from 1 species